rnacentral:rRNA from 1 species
AUGGCGGCGGUUCGGUGCGCGGCGAGGAGCUUCGGUGGCUCACUGCUCCAGCGAACGCAGGCGGCGGUCGCGGAUGAGGGACGCCCGCUCGUGCCAAGCAGGUUCAUGCGCUCCCGCCAGCUCUCCACCAAGCAUGCUGGCAAGAUCCAGAAGGAACUGGAGCCGUCUGAAGUGGAAGCUAAGUUGAAGCUGACGAGGGCGAAGCUGGGUGCAACGUUAGAUAAGUUGGAGAAGGAACAGCCAGAUGAGUUUAUGUUGCGCUUGAAAUCCAUCGGACGUGCGGCUGACGGUGUGGUCAAUGGAGUUGUCAAGUUGGCAGCUUUCUGUAUGGUUACUGCUGUUGCUUUUGGUGGCGAAGGGGUAGAAGCACAGGCUGUUACCAAGGGAAGCCAGUGA